GUGCCAGCAGCCGCGGUAAGACGAAGGAUGCAAGCGUUAUCCGGAUUCAUUGGGUUUAAAGGGAGCGUAGGCGGUCUUGUAAGUCAGUGGUGAAAUCUCUUCGCUUAACGAAGAAACUGCCAUUGAUACUGCAGGACUUGAGUACAGAUGCUGUGGGCGGAAUAUGACAUGUAGUGGUGAAAUACAUAGAGAUGUCAUAGAACACCGAUUGCGAAGGCAGCUCACAAAACUGUAACUGACGCUGAGGCUCGAAAGUGCGGGGAUCAAACAGGAUUAGAUACCCUGGUAGUCC
rnacentral:rRNA from 1 species